UUAGUCUAAUUUAGCUUAAUUUCACCUUUAGUGCGUAUUUUAGUGCUUAUUUUUGGUUCAGCGACCGCAAUGAUGAUAUAUGAAUUCAGAACAUUUUUUUUAUUUUGUAUUAAAUGAAGGUUAUACAUCAACUACCACUGCUCCUAUUCACAACGUGUUUGAUCACCAAUAAUUCCUCAGUUUCCUCCUUCUGAACACAUGUUCAUACUUUGUUAACUUUGGCCUCUAAUUCAGUAAUGAUGCGUCUGGUUUUAUAGUAAUUAACUUUUAUAAAAUAUUUGGUUUUCUUUUAUGUGAGACCUGGCUGUGGACCUUGAUGAAGGAGUUUGAGAGCACUUUGCCUUCUAGCACUUAGGAAGGAGGUUGCACUUUUCGACCCAUUUGACAAAACAGGUUAUUCAUGCAUGUUUAAGCUAUUUGCCAAUCAAAGGAGAUCUUAUUGAGGCUAAAGGUGUUCACGAGCUACUUUGUUCAUUGGUCAAAAGACAAGUAUGGGCAAUCCUUUUUAUUGUUCUUCUUUACCUCUUUUUGCAUUGCUUCUAACAAACUUUGUUGUCUAUAUCACAAGUUAGACAUGGAACUGCAGCGUCCCUACAAUCGAUAUGUGCAAUAAUUGUUUCUAUAUUUGAUAUAAAUAUUUGAGUAUUCUAUUAUAUCCAUGCCCUGUGAGCUGAGGGGGCUACUCUAUUGAUUACCAGCACUCAUGAUUGGGUGAAUAGUCGUAGACAGUAUGCUUUCACGCAAAUAAGUUCCACUCUAUCCUUAUCCAGGACAUUGGAUUCUUAUAGCUUGGAAUUAUGGUUAAAGUGGAAUUUGUUCUUCGUUCUUAAGUGAGAGGGUUUGAGUCAAAAAAAAAAACGAGUACUUUUGCAGGUUGGGUUGGAAUUCUCAGCACAUUCUCUAUUGGAUGGUGGAAUAUUGAAUAUACAAGAGAUGAAUAUGACAUGGUUGGAGAUACGAAUUGAGUAAAAGUCUUGCGGCAUGAUCUGUUUACAAAUGAUGCUCUACUUUGGCUUUAGUUUCAACAAUUUAAAAUGUGUGCUUGGCGGUAGUUAAAGACGGAAGAGAAUAUUAGAGGGAAAGUCAACCACAUGAAGAAAGGAAAGAUAUUAGCUUUGUUCGAGAAUUUAGUGAAAAUGGUGUAGAUGAAGAUGU
rnacentral:lncRNA from 1 species